AUGGACCUUAUCACGGAGGUCCUUCAUCCGUAUCAUAGUGGUUAUGUCGGAGACUAACCUCCAUGAAAUUCCAAUAUCAUAGAGGCUUACUGCCUCCACGGUUCGAAAUCACCCUAAACCCCAUCCAAAAAUUUCAAAACUCGUUCAGGACACCCCUUUAACAUACCAAGAUGUUUAACCUCAAAAAUCAAAGUUUCAAAUUCGGGAAGGCCAAACAAAUCCUUGUAAUAUUAGGCUUUUAUUAUAACUAAGUUCGUUAUACUUAGCGUAAAAUUCAUGCCAUGGACCCCUUAAAUAUACCACCAAGAGCUGAAAGCGAGCCUAUGAUCUUUCGGGAUAUUACAACUCCUUAUAUCUCCUAAGAUACACCUUUAGUUUGAAGAUAAUUUGAUCAUUCUCAAAUAUAGUAAUCCAAUAAAGGUAGGGGUCGAAUCCCAAGUGAAUACGUGAAAUUAUAGCUCUUAACUACUGUAAUCAACAAGAAGAACUGGAAAACUGAUAGGGGGAUCGUAGUGGCAAUAUCAAACAAGUAGCAAAUAUAAACUCUGGUUGUAUUAAGUCAUAGAUGAACACUAGGAUUGUGUUCCCCCUACCUUCUCAACUCAGAAGGAUUAUCGAGCUAUAUUGAACCAACCCGGUACCUUGCAUGUAGAAUCUAAUAAGUUAUGUACCAUCAACUCUCUUUUGGACUAGUUGAUAUAUUUCACCCUUUACCUUUUGAGACUGAGGAUGUCGCCUUACUAACCUUUAUCCUGGAUCCCACUUAACUAUCAUCUUUUGGGUCUCCAGUUAUUAGAUGAUAGUUAAUGAUCUUACUUAGAUAAUACCUAUUAGCAAGGAUCAACUGUUAGUUAAUCUUCAAAGUACUAUUGUAAUUAUCUUUUCCUCAUCACUACUCCUUUUUUGGAGUUAGUGUCAAUAAUCUAGGUGGGCUCGUAAAGUUUGCAACCGCUAAGACAUCUAUUAAACUAAUGAUAAUACAAUACAUGCAUGGGUAUCAGUUUAGAACAGCAUAGCACUUCUCCUACUUUAUCAAUCCACCAGGGUUUCCACAACCUUAUCUAAGGGUUUUAGCCUCUCAUUCUCGUGAAAUAAUCAACAAUAUUCAUAAUUGAAAGCAUUAUAUGAAAUCACAGUAAUCCCAACUAAAAACCUAAAACUUCAACUGAAUUAAAGACAAAAAUUAAUUCAAAGUAAUUCCAAGACCAAAUUUGGAUCUCGAAAUCAAAAUAUGUUUGUGAAUAUAAAAGGUGUGUAACGUCAACUAAAAAACACAUAAAGUGUACUUAUAUUACAUGAGGAAACCCUAAGAAUUAAAGCUCAAAUGAAAAACGAAAAGUGGUGUCUGUGGCCACUUACUUGUGCCAUAUACGACCCGUAUGUACUACAUACGGUCCGCAAUUGGACCCAAGAAAGUGCCAGAAAGUUUUCUUAUAGCUUUGCACUCUCUUGAUCUUGUCUUUUGGUACAUACCUUAGCCACUUAUGGUCCAAAAGUGAAACAUAUAGUCCACAAGUGGACCCACGUAAGUUCCAAAGUCUUCAAAUUCUUGCAACCAAGUAUAUGGACUUCAAUUUUUAGUACAUACUUUGGUGACAUACGCUCGGUAAAUGGUAAAUAUGCCCAAAAAUGUUCAAGUAUGUAGCCACACUCCAUUUUCAUUUUUUUCUUGAACUUAGCAUCCAAAACCUAAUUUCCUACAAAACAUACCCAAAACACAUCAUAUAUAAAAAAACACCUCAGAAUCAUGAAUAUGUUCAUAUUCUUAAGCGCCAAAAGUGUUAUAAAUUCAUAGAACAUCAACAUCCACAACUUAGAAUAUUGCAUGUCCUUAGGCAACAAAAUAAUAAUAAAGACAAUACAAGAUGCUUAACUAGGAGAAUCUAAGAUCUCCAAGGAAGUCAAUGAUAUUAAAUAAAAUACGACAGCAGAAAACACACAAGAUGGGGGGAAAUCAAGGGGGAAAAUGUGAUAAGUAAUAAAAGGGUAAAAAGAUAGAAGAUCGAGACAACAUGAUAAUGAAAGGGCAACCAAAGGGUAUUUCAAACCCUAAAACCUCCCUUAACAAUUACCAUAAGCACCCAACUCUUACGUUGACUAAAAGGAAAUUAAUUCCCAACAACCUUUAUUUCUAAUCAACAAGUUCAUCAAGAACUCAACAAUACUUAAAAGGGUUAGUUCAUUAAUAUUCAACAAAAGCUAUAAGAAAAUAAUAUAGAAGUUUCUAUUUAUAGUUGGGUUAACAUCCAAAAGUGACCUAUGCCUUAAAAGAACAAAAAUCGUAUGAACUGAGUAAUCUGCCUUCCAGUGAUGGCCAUAGUAAUGGCCCAUCUCUAGGUUGAUGGUCAGUCCACUUAGACGUCAACUUGAACUAGUGGGAAAAUGUACUAGUCUUCCUGGGAAGACUUCAGUGAUUGCCAGUCACCUUAGUGAUGGUCCGUCGUACCUUUAGUCAGACCAAACCAGUGAUGUCCGCUCUCUUCCUUGUCUUUGUGUCCUCCCAAACCGGUCCUUAUUACAUGGCAUCCCUUUAUAGUUAUCAAAAUAAGAUCCAUCAUUUUUUCUCUAGCGAACAUAGCUUGCAACUCUUGGAGUCUUUUAGUUUGGCAUUGAGUAAAUUGCCUUGAAGACUUUUGGAUUUCAUCAUCCUCUAUCUCUUAAAAGGAUUCAUCUUCGAAUCUAAACCCUGUAAAAGAAAAGUGUUGGUGCUUGGCAAAAUGCUAGUACUAUUAUUAGAAAACAUCAAGUGCUAGGGGUGGUAACAAGGUUUCCCUUCCUUUGUCAUGUGCAUGUUCUGUUUUUAGAUAGGGCCUUCCACAGCCCUAACACUCAUGGCUCAUUCCAUUAUGAGGUUAAGAUUCACAAUUCCCCCUCCCCAGGACAAGCAUCUUCGGGUAAAAGUUUAUUCAUCAAAACAUUGGGUACACUAAGUUCCCCUUCUACUAUUUUAGAUUCACCUUCACCCUCAAAGUCUUCCUCACUAUCAAUGUCUUGGUUCACCUUAUCCCUAACAAAGUAGGCAUCACCUCCCACCAUAACUAUGUUUCUUUGAUUGGGGCAUUCACUUGCUCUAUGAACCCAUCCUUGACACUUAAAACAAAUAAUACCUCUAGGAUUGGUGUUAGAGUAGUGAUUACCUUAUAUUCUUUGUGGAUACUUUGGGGUAGCCUCCUCAACGGGCCUCUUCUCAUAGUACUUAUUGAAAUCUUUGUUCUUGUAUCACCCGAAUGAAUUAGAAGUUGUGUAGCCUUUAUUGAAGGACUCCCUUGCAUUAUUGUUCCCCUCAACCUUGAUGGCCGCUUCAACAUGAUCUUCUAUUCAUUAAAACUUAUGAACAACCAAUUGAUAAAUAAUGUCAUAGUCCAACCCUCCUUUUAAUCUAGCCAUACAAUGAUUUAGAGAUUUGACAAGCUAAAGACGGAGGAUCAAAUUUUCAAAGUCCUCAUAGUAAUCUUCCACACUUAUGCCCCCUUUUUGCAAGUUAUAAAGCUUGGUAAGUUGCUCUUGUUUGAGCCUCUCUAUCACAUUUCUCUCUCUUAUGAGUGGCCUCAAUUCAUCCCAACUCAGAAGGUCGAGAUUACCAUACCUCUCUCUUUUUAAUCUUUUAGUCUCCCACCAAGUAGUUACAUACCCCUCUAGUUGAGCACUGGCAUUAGAGUUAUUCUUGUGUCCAGUUAAUUCAUUAAGUUACAAGAUCCUAUUGUAUUGAAUUUCCCAAUCUAGGUAUACCAAUGAAUCACUAGUUCUAUUGAAUGUAGGGAGAGAGAGAUUUUGAUGGAGUUAAUACCCGUGUCUCUUCCCAUAUUUCCUCAUUGAUCCCAUUAAAGAUUUUCUUAAACUUUUGGUUGGUUUCCCAAGUUCCCUAUCCCAUGUGGAAUCGGACCAAAUCUUUCCCCUCGGCCUCUAAAUCCUCCCCCAUGAACUCUUCAUCUAUUAUGUACAAAUUCCACAAACAAAUCCACUUCAUCGAACUUUUCAUUUCCUCCACGAGGUCCCUCACCUUCCACAUCCUCAAUUUAGAUUGGUUGAUUAUGGUUAGACAGUAUUUGAGGUCUUUGGUUUUGGAUAAUGGUAUGGUUUAGUGGAGCUUCUUGAUUGACUUGCUUGAAUUGGGGUUCUAGUGGGUGAAUGGGGUUCCAAUUAUUUGGAUAAGUAGGGAUUUGGGGUUAGAUUAAUGGAAUUGUAUUGGCAGAUUAAGCAUUUAGUGAAGCAUUUUCGGAGUUUUAGUAGUGGAGAUGUUAUGAGUAUGAUCACUAGAUGAAGCAUAAACGUUUUGACAAUUUGAUAUGGUAGAGUCUAGAAUCCCUUCCACGUUAAUCAUCCUUCUAUUCAAUCCCCUCAAUUCACUUCAUACUUCCUUUACAUCUCGGGUCACAUUCAUUAUGGCCGCCAUUAUAGCUUCUAUGUUUAUCUCUCCUGAAGCACUUUGGUGAUCAUCCCCUGAUGCCAUUGAACUUAAGGACUUGAACCAAGAAUUUACAAUGAUGUAAAAUGAGAAAAGCACUAAAAGAAAUGGGACAAAAAAAGAAA
rnacentral:lncRNA from 1 species